UGAAAAAUGUCAUGGGAAUUGAUGAGGGAAAUGAGGAGGCAAUCAGUGAAUUUAUGGCUGAUAGUACAGCUAAACUUACCUCUGCUCUUAGGUAAAGUCAUUUCUCUCUAAUUUCAACAAGAAGCAAGUUGUAUCUAUAACUGUUUCUUUUUGCAAGUGUAAAUCUUCCCUCUUCGAUGUUAAAAGGAACUCACAUGAGAAGGUUUACCCCACUGUAUCAAUUCUUCAAAGAAUUAAGAUGACACUACUGCAUAAUUAUGUUCUUGUCAUAUUUUACAGUUCACUUCCAGAAUUGCUUGAGAAAUAGAGAAUUAUAGACAUGCACACAACUAUUGCCACAGCGCUUUUGGAACACAUCAAGGAGAGAGCCAGUUCCAAAGGGGCAAAUAACAAAGUGAUCAUUUGCAUCACUUGAUUUCACUUUCUCACUUUCUCACUUAUUAAAUUGUUUGAAAAUAUUGAAUUUUUCCUCAACAAGUUAUACUUGUGAUUUUUUUCCUUUUUUUUUUUUUUCA